rnacentral:lncRNA from 1 species
GACUGCAUAUCAGCAUAUUUGGAUUCAUGUGUGGUGUGUUUGUAUGCAAUUUAUGCACGUGGGAAUAUUUUUGAUGUUCAUGAUCUUAUAGAUAUAGACCAUGUUCGUUUACGUUUCGCGCGACCUGCGACUUGCGACUAAAGAUUACGUUUGUUUACAUGUUGCACGACCUGCGACUUGCGACCUGCGACUAAAACUAUGUUCGUUUACGACAUCAAAACGAUAACCGCGACUGGAAUCGCACGACAUCAAAACGAACAACAACCUGCGACAUGCGACUUUGCGUCUAAACACAUUUUUCUUAGCACACAAGCAGGCUCGUCGUAAUACCUUAAUAGAAUG